CCUACGGGAGGCAGCAGUGAGGAAUAUUGCUCAAUGGGCUUACGCCUGAAGCAGCGAAGUCGCGUGAGGGAAGACUUCCCUCUGUGUUGUAAACCUCUUUUGUCAGGGAGCAACGCCGGCUACGUGUAGCCGGACUGAGAGUACCUGAAGAAAAAGCAUCGGCUAAGUCCGUUCCAGCAGCCGCGGUAAUACGGGGUAUGCGAGGGUUAUCCGGAUUUAUUGGGGUUAAAGGGUGCGUGUGCGGACUGCCAAGUCAGCGGUAAAAUCGCGGGGUUCAACCUCGCUCCGCCGUUGAAACUGGCGUUCUUGAGUGGGCGAGAAGUAUGCGGAAUUCCUAGUGUAGCGGUGGAAUGCGUAGAUAUUAGGAGGAACAUCAGUGGCGAAGGCGACUUUCUGGACUGUAACUGACGCUGAGGCACGAAAGUGUGGGGAGCAAACAGGAUUAGAUACCCGGGUAGUC
rnacentral:rRNA from 1 species